rfam:Bacillaceae bacterium MTCC 8252 Contig39, whole genome shotgun sequence.
UUUUUGGAGAGUUUGAUCCUGGCUCAGGACGAACGCUGGCGGCGUGCCUAAUACAUGCAAGUCGAGCGGACGGAAGGGAGCUUGCUCCCGGAAGUCAGCGGCGGACGGGUGAGUAACACGUGGGUAACCUGCCUGUAAGACUGGGAUAACUCCGGGAAACCGGGGCUAAUACCGGAUAGCUUCUUCCUCCGCAUGGAGGAAGAAUGAAAGGCGGCCUUUGGCUGUCACUUACAGAUGGACCCGCGGCGCAUUAGCUAGUUGGUGGGGUAACGGCUCACCAAGGCGACGAUGCGUAGCCGACCUGAGAGGGUGAUCGGCCACACUGGGACUGAGACACGGCCCAGACUC